rnacentral:misc_RNA from 1 species
GAUGAAGAACGCAGCGAAAUGCGAUAAGUAAUGUGAAUUGCAGAAUUCAGUGAAUCAUCGAAUCUUUGAACGCACAUUGCGCCCCCUGGUAUUCCGGGGGGCAUGCCUGUCCGAGCGUCAUUACAACCCUCAAGCUCAGCUUGGUGUUGGGCCCCGCCGCCCCGGCGGGCCCUAAAGUCAGUGGCGGUGCCGUCCGGCUCCGAGCGUAGUAAUUCUUCUCGCUCUGGAGGUCCGGUCGUGUGCUCGCCAGCAACCCCCAAUUUUUUCCAGGUUGACCUCGGAUCAGGUAGGGAUACCCGCUGAACUUAAGCAUAUCAAUAAGCGGAGGA